rnacentral:rRNA from 1 species
CCUGGACCCGAAGCGGGAUGAUCUAGCCCUGGGCAGGUUGAAGCGCGGGUAAGACCGCGUGGAGGACCGAACCCACCUGGGUUGAAAACCGGGGGGAUGACCUGGGGCUAGGGGUGAAAGGCCAAUCAAAUUCCGUGAUAGCUGGUUCUCUCCGAAAUGCAUUUAGGUGCAGCGUCGGUUGAUUGCAUCGCGGGGGUAGAGCUACUGGAUGCUUGCGGGCCCGUAUGGGGUACCAAUAGCAGCCAAACUCCGAAUACCGUGGAUGUGUAUUCCGGCAGUGAGUCGGCGGGGGAUAAGCUCCGUCGUCGAGAGGGAGACAGCCCAGAUCGUCGUCUAAGGUCCCGAAGCGUGUGCUAAGUGGGAAAGGAUGUGGAGUCGCAUAGACAGCCAGGAGGUUGGCUCAGAAGCAGCCAUCCUUGAAAGAGUGCGUAACAGCUCACUGGUCUAGUGGUUCCGCGCCGACAAUGUAGCGGGGCUCAAGCACACCACCGAAGACGCGGCAGCGGCCUUUGCGGCCGUUGGGUAGGAGAGCGUCCCGCGUGGGGCGAAGCGGCCGGGGAACCGUGCCGUGGACCGCGCGGGAGUGAGAAUGCAGACAUGAGUAGCGAGAGACGGGUGAGGAUCCCGUCCGCUGGAUGACCAAGGGUUCCGGGGCCACGUUCGUCGUCCCCGGGUGAGUCGGGUCCUAAGGCGAGGCCGACAGGCGUAGUCGAAUGGAUGAACGGGUGGAUAUUCCCGUACCGGCGGCGUACCGUAAGAGCCGAACGGAUGAGUACUAACCUCCGGUCGCGUGGCGUCGUUCCCUUCGGGGUUCGGUGUCCGCGGUCGUUGGGAGCGUAGUCCCGGUAGGCUAGCGCACAGGGGUGACACGGAAUGGGAGCCGGCCGCGGAGGUGGUUUUCCGUGGUCAAGCACGCAGCCCGUCCCAUAGGCAAAUCCGUGGGGCAUGUAGGGUGAGGUGUGAUGAUGGGCGUCCUUUGGACGCGAUAUCCGGUGGUCCAGGCCGUCGAGAAAAGCCUCGGCGCGAGGGGCGUCGCCGCCCGUACCCCAAACCGACACUGGUGGUCAGGUAGAGAAUACCAAGGCGAUCGAGCGAAUCCUGGUCAAGGAACUCGGCAAAUCACUCCCGUGCCUUCGGUAUAAGGGAGACCCCCGGGCGUGAAGAGGCUUGCCCUCGGAGCGUUGGGGGGUGGCACAGACCAGGGGGUAGCGACUGUUUACCAAAAACACAGGUGCAUGCGAAGGCGCAAGCCGCUGUAUAUGCACUGACGCCUGCCCGGUGCCGGAAGGUUAAGAGGAUCCGUCAGUCCCUUUUGGGGUGAAGCGGUGAAUUCAAGCCCCGGUAAACGGCGGUGGUAACUAUAACCAUCCUAAGGUAGCGAAAUUCCUUGUCGGGUAAGUUCCGACCUGCACGAAUGGCGUAACGACUUCCCCACUGUCUCGACCAGGAGCUCGGCGAAAUUGCAGUACGAGUAAAGAUGCUCGUUAAGCGCAGAAGGACGAAAAGACCCCGGGACCUUUACUAUACCUUGGUAUUGGCGUUAGGCGCGGAUUGUGUAGCAUAGGCGGGAGGCUUCGAAGCAUGGGCGCCAGCCCGUGUGGAGCCGCAAGGUGAAAUACCGCUCUGUUCUCGUUUGACGUCUAACCUCGAACAGUCAUCCUGUUCAGGGACAGUGCCUGGCGGGUAGUUUAACUGGGGCGGUUGCCUCCCAAAGAGUAACGGAGGCGCUCAAAGGUCCGCUCAGCCCGGUUGGCAAUCGGGUUUCGAGUGUAAUCGCACAAGCGGGCUUGACUGCGAGAACGACGGUUCGGGCAGGGACGAAAGUCGGAGAUAGUGAUCCGGUGCCGGCGCACGGGCGCGGCAUCGCUCAACGGAUAAAAGGUACCCCGGGGAUAACAGGCUGAUCAUUCCCAAGAGUCCAUAUCGACGGGAUGGUUUGGCACCUCGAUGUCGGCUCGUCGCAUCCUGGGGCUGGAGCAGGUCCCAAGGGUUCGGCUGUUCGCCGAUUAAAGCGGCACGCGAGCUGGGUUCAGAACGUCGUGAGACAGUUUGGUCUCUAUCCUCUGCGCUCGUUGGAAUCCUGAGGAGGCCUGCCCAUAGUACGAGAGGACCUGGGUGGACG